AGCCUUUUCUUAUCCAGGCUCAAAUUAUACAAUCUCGGAAACACAAACUUAAGGGGUUUGUCUACCGCCCACACAUCCUCCCAGAAGCUGGUCUCAAGUCCAUCCCCAAUUCUUCGCCUCAAAUUAUUGAUGAACCACCGAUCUCUCCUUCCUCCUCCCUUAUCCACAAUUUUUUGCCACCACCCUUUCUGUCCACCUCUUCCCGCCACCGAACAUUCUCCCCCUUC
rnacentral:lncRNA from 1 species